ensembl:lncRNA
AGGGAAAUGGCUAGUGUCCCUGACACAAUCUUUAGUUUCAGCUGGACUUCAUAUUAGUGGCUGUCGCUUGAAAAUGAAGAAGCAGAUGCACUCUCUAAGGGGAUGCUGUUUUGGGUAUAACAGGAGGAGAGAAGCUGCAGAGAGGUGUGCAAAACUGCAACGCUGCUUCCUGGUCCCAACUCUGGAUACUCUGGAUUUUAGAGGGUUUAUUAAAUUUGGCCAGAUUUCUACAAUGAGAGCUGUUCCACACAAAGUCAAGGGAUGACUUUACUCCUAACAAGACCAAUUUUGCCCCACAAAGUUUCCCACUAUUUAUAAAGCCCAAAUCAUUUUUUGGAAACCAUUCAAACAGUCAGCAUUUUAAGGAGAUUAUGCCGCUAAUCAUGACAUUCCUGGUCUGAUUAGCGAGAGAACCAGAGAAGACUACAGAAUUUUGGCAAAGUUACACACCAAUUCAAUAUUAAUUUUAGUGACCUCCGGUUCAUGUAACCGAGUAUCAUUA